rnacentral:lncRNA from 1 species
UUGAGUACCACUGCAAAAUGUAAGUGUGGAUUUUACCAUCUUCUGCUAUCAGAGAUGAAUAUGUACAUGUAAUAAUUUUGGUCUGUCACAGGAAUAAAUCUUUUCUCGAUAUCAGUUUGUUCUUUUUGUCCUGUUCUCUGUUACUACUAGUGGUUUUGCUGCUGCUGUUGCUGCUGUUGUUGCUGUUGCUGCUACUACUACUACUACUACUACUACUACUACUACUACUACUACUACUACUACUACUACUACUACUACUAAUAAUAAUAAUAAUAAUAAUAAUAAUAAUAAUAAUAAUAAUAAUAAUAAUGAUAAUAAUAAUAAUAAUAAUAAUUUCUAUUACAGGCACAAGGCUUGAAAUUUUGGAAGAUGAGGAUAGUUAGCUACAUUGGCACCAGUGCAUAACUGGUACUUAUUUCAUCAACCUUGCACCCCAAAAAGGAUGAACAGCAAAGUCAGCCUCAGUAGCAUUUGGACUCAGAGUAUAAAGAAAUGCUGCUAGGCAUUUUGUCUGGUCUGCUAAUGAUUAUGCCAGCUUGCUCCUUUACAACAACAAAUAACAAUAAUAAUAAUCCUUUCUACUAUAGGCAUGAGGCAUGAAAUUUGGUGGAGAGGGGGUAAGUCGAUUACAUUGACCCCGGUGUGUAACUGGUACUUAUCUCAGCGGAAUUUGAACUUAGA